CCUACGGGUGGCAGCAGUGAGGAAUAUUGGUCAAUGGACGGAAGUCUGAACCAGCCAUGCCGCGUGCAGGAAGACGGCUCUAUGAGUUGUAAACUGCUUUUGUACAAGGGUAAACCUGAAUGCGUGUAUUCAGCUGAAAGGAUCGUACGAAUAAGGAUCGGCUAACCCCGUGCCAGCAGCCGAGGUAAUACGGAGGGUUCAAGCGUUAUCCGGAUUUAUUGGGGUUAAGGGGUGCGUACGCGGUCGGGGAAGUUAGAGGUGAAAUCCCGGGGCUCAACUUCGGAAUUGCCUCUGAUAUUGUUCGGCUAGAGAGUAGUUGCGGUAGGCGGAAUGUAUGGUGUAGCGGUGAAAUGCUUAGAGAUCAUACAGAACACCGAUUGCGAAGGCAGCUUACCAAGCUACUUCUGACGUUGAGGCACGAAAGCGUGGGGAGCAAACAGGAUUAGAUACCCGUGUAGUC
rnacentral:rRNA from 1 species